CCGGAGUGGACGCAUCACUGGUGUUCGGGUUGUCAUGCCAAUGGCAUUGCCCGGUAGCUAAAUGCGGAAGAGAUAAGUGCUGAAAGCAUCUAAGCACGAAACUUGCCCCGAGAUGAGUUCUCCCUGACUCUUUAAGAGUCCUGAAGGAACGUUAAAGACGAUGACGUUGAUAGGUCGGGUGUGUAAGUGUAGCGAUACAUUGAGCUAACCGAUACUAAUGAACCGUGAGGCUUAACCUUACAACGCCGAAG
rnacentral:rRNA from 1 species